UACGGGGGGGGCAAGCGUUGUUCGGAAUUACUGGGCGUAAAGGGCUCGUAGGCGGCCAACUAAGUCGGACGUGAAAUCCCCAGGCUCAACCUGGGAACUGCGUCCGAUACUGGAUGGCUUGAAUCCGGGAGAGGGAUGCAGAAUUCCAGGUGUAGCGGUGAAAUGCGUAGAUAUCUGGAGGAAUACCGGUAGCGAAGGCGGCAUCCUGGACCGGCAUUGACGCUGAGGAGCGAAAGCCAGGGGAGCAAACAGG
rnacentral:rRNA from 1 species